rnacentral:rRNA from 1 species
AGCGUAGACGGCGCAGCAAGUCUGAUGUGAAAGGCAGAGGCUUAACCCCUGGACUGCAUUGGAAACUGCUGUGCUUGAGUGCCGGAGGGGUAAGCGGAAUUCCUAGUGUAGCGGUGAAAUGCGUAGAUAUUAGGAGGAACACCAGUGGCGAAGGCGGCUUACUGGACGGUAACUGACGUUGAGGCUCGAAAGCGUGGGAGCAAACA